AAGCUCGUAGUUGAAUUUCGGCGCCUGAUGGCCGGUCCGCCUUCUUGGUGUGUACUUGCUCAUCGGGCGCUUACCUCCUGGUGAACUCUGAUGUCCUUUAUUGGGUGUCAGAGCAAACCAGGACGUUUACUUUGAAAAAAUUAGAGUGUUCAAAGCAGGCCUACGCCCGAAUACAUUAGCAUGGAAUAAUAGAAUAGGACGCGCGUUCCCAUUUUGUUGGUUUCUGAGAUCGCCGUAAUGAUUAAUAGGGAUAGUUGGGGGCAUUUGUAUUCCGUCGUCAGAGGUGAAAUCCUUGGAUUGCCGGAAGACAAACUACUGCGAAAGCAUUUGCCAAGGAUGUUUUCAUUGAUCAAGAACGAAGGAAGAGGGAUCGAAAACGAUCAGAUACCGUUGUAGUCUCUUCUGUAAACUAUGCCAAUUGGGGAUUAGCACAGGAUUUUCAAUGACUGUGUUAGCACCCGAAGAGAAAUCUUUAAAUGA
rnacentral:rRNA from 1 species